UACGUAGGGUGCGAGCGUUAAUCGGAAUUACUGGGCGUAAAGCGUGCGCAGGCGGUUUUGUAAGUCAGAUGUGAAAUCCCCGGGCUUAACCUGGGAACUGCGUUUGAAACUACAAGGCUAGAGUGUGGCAGAGGGGGGUGGAAUUCCGACGUGUAGCAGUGAAAUGCGUAGAGAGUGUGGAGGAACACCGAUGGCGAAGGCAGCCCCCUGGGUUAACACUGACGCCUCAGGCACGAAAGCGUGGGGAGCAAACAGG
rnacentral:rRNA from 1 species